CGAUAUAUAUAUCUAAAGCGUUUGGGCGAUGAUGCCAUACCCCUGGUCACGGUUCUUCAAAGGCAACAGCUGCUUUGUGCAUGGCAAUUCAGUGGACCUGCUUCAUGAGGAUGGCAGCAGGGACAGGGCAUAGGAGGAGGAUGCUCCUGGACCAGACUGGGACAGAGCAGAGCCUGCCCUGACGAGACUGCAACACCAUCCUAAGCAAGCUGCUUAUAAGGGUGGAGGAAGCAGUAGGAGAAAAGGCCAAAGAUAAAAUGAUGCUGAUCACUUUGGGGUAAUUUUGCCUAACCUGGUUAUAUCAUCAUCAGAAUGCCAGAAACAUCUCUCAACUUGUGUGGAGAGUUUCGAUCCAUACCUGGUGGGGGAAAGGAGGGAAGAGGAAACACUCACUAGACCUGUGUCCAGCGUGUCUUUGGAACUGUUUUCUUUGAGGGAAUGACAUUUUUAAUGCCAGACAAAUGGCGCGACCAACAGGACAAAGUAGUGCUGGAGGCCUGCAACGCUGCACAAUGUCAGCAGAAACCAACAUUAUUAUGGAAGGCUACUUCUAAACGGAUUAGAGCACCACUGACUACCAGGGCUGUCCCAUGGCAAUGAGAGUCCUUGUUGCUGCUCAGCUGAUUCAACUGGCCACGAAGGCAAAAGGAAUGGAAGUUAUCUUCAGCACGAUGCUAGCCUCCAGGAUGGGUUUGCUUAUGAAUUGGCUACUGUCAUGUUCCCAGGAGUUGCCAUGAAUGCAACAUGAGGGCACAUCUCUUGCACUGCCGUUGCACCAGGAUGCAGUUCCCCGCGUUCCUCAGUGUGCAAAUCAGA